rnacentral:lncRNA from 1 species
AAUCAGACUUGAACUGGCAGUGUUUAUAUAGGACAGCAUGUGGUCCUUCUACUCUGGUAUGCGAGGCAAAAUCUCAGCAGUGGCUUCAUGCAUCCUCAGAACUGCAUCUUGCCUUCCACCCCUGUCUCACUCAGCCCCACAACUCCAAUGCUAGGGUAAAUACCACGAGGUCAGCGCGGUUAAUUACUUUUGGUAGAACUGGGAUCAGUAUCUGUCCUUCAUAUACACUUUCCACUCUCUGUUGAAGAAUUCUUUAUGGGCUGCCAGGGUCUCUUCGCUGGUGGGCUGACUUUAGAAUGUUUCUCUUCUUGGUAGUAAACUGCCUUUUCCAAUGUUUC